ACAUGCUCUGCAAGACCCUCCGCUGGCGUAGGGUCCCGGAGAGCCGCGGCUUCUCCACCUGCGACGGCGAGCUGCUGCCACAGGAGUCGCUGGGCGCGAGAUUUACCUCCUGGAGGGUGGGCACCAUGAAGCGGCACGUGCCAAGGUCGGCUUCAGGUCCGGCGUCCCUCCGUUGGUGAUGCAGAUUGUGAUGAAUGAUGAUGGCCAGGAGAUGGUCUAUGCUAGUUGAUUUCUGGAAUAUUGUUCCGGUACCGACGAAGCAGGAGGCAAAGGAUUGCUGGAUGGUUUAGGAUAGAUUGGUGUUAUGGUUUUACUUCUCCCUGGAGUCUGGCUUUGCAAAUAAUCUAGUGAUUCCUGAGUCUGACUUUGCUUUGGCGCUGUCAUGAUUCCAGAAAAGGGUCUCGGUGUCUCUAGAUAAUGUACCAUUUACAAGUCUUAGGUGAUGUAUGCUGCUGUAACUGAAAAUUUUCCUUGUUCUUCUGUACUGUAUGUAUUUAGUACUCAUAGAGUAGCCUCCUGAGUAGAAAGUCGAUUCCAUUUUCUCUUUGUUGGGUGUGUGUGUGCCUUGUGGGUUUAUAGUGUGUAUGUCCAACGUUGGCGUCACUGAUUUUUCAGAAAAGAGUGUAAAUUGUUGUGAAUGGAAAUAACAGAAACAAACUGUUUCUUAUA